GGGCUUGUAGCUCAAGUGAUAGAGCAACCUGUAGUCCUUCACGCUGACUACAGUGUGUUUUGUGGGUUCAAAUCCCACCAAGCCCU
rnacentral:tRNA from 1 species